AUACCCUCUACCCAAGGAAUCGGAGUAAAUCUGGCCAGUGGCCUCCUGCUGCGAGUCAGGUAACAUAUUUACCCCAGGAGACAGUGCUCAGCAGAUGCACAGGAGGACAUCAAUGAUGCUCUUGUGACUUCGGAGAGAGGAUUCAGAAGCCAGCUGGAUCCUCAGCGAUCCCAGUGUUGGGAGCUUCUGUCUGGCCUAGAGACCCUUCCCC